UUGACCCUCCAAAUCAGUUAGAACUACCCGCUGA
rnacentral:rRNA from 1 species